CACCAGCACCCGGAUGCACCAAAGAUCACUAGGUUGGUUCUGGCUGAGCCAGGCUCCGUAGACACUCAGCCCAUAGCAGGAGAAAAAGAUCAUAGAGUAGUUGGUGACAGCAAUGAUCCACAGUACAAUCAACGCAGCAGUCAUCUGCCUGUGCGGAACAGUAAAAAAAGACUUCUCAUUGAUCCACAAGUUACCUUGGUGUUUUGAUCAGACAAUUUUCUUUUUUAUUUUCACCAGGUCGGCUAGCCGAGAACAAGUUCUCAUUUACAACUGUGACCUGGCCAAGAUAAAGCAAAGCAGUUCGACACAUACCACAACAGAGUAACACAUGGAAUAAACAAAAAUACAGUAGACAGGUCUAUACAGUAUGUGCAAAUGAGGUAGGAUAAGGGAGGUAAGGCAAUAAAUACGCCAUGGUGGCGAAUUAAUUACAAUAUAACAAUUAAACACUGGAAUGGUAGAUGUGCAGAAGAUUAAUGUGCAAGUAGAGAUACUGGGAUGCAAAGGAGCAAGAUAAAGAAAUACAGUAUGGGGAAGCGGUAGUUGGAUGGGCUAUUUACAGAUGGGCUAUGUACAGGUGCAGUGAUCAGUGAGCUGCUAUGACAAGCUGGUGCUUAAAGCUAGUGAGGCAGAUAGGAGUCUCCAGCUUCAGUGAUUUUUGCAGUUCGUUUCAGUCAUUGGCAGCAGAGAACUGGGAGGUAAGGCAGCCAAAGUAAGAAUUGGCUUUGGGGUGACCAGUGAGAUACACCUGCUGGAGCGCGUGCUACGGGUGGGUGCUGCUAUGGUGACCAGUGAGCUGAGGUAAGGCGGGGCUUUACCUAGCAGAGACUUGUAGAUGACCUGGGGCCAGUGGUUUUGGCUUCGAGUAUGAAGCGAGGGCCAACCAACGAGAGCAUACAGGUCGCAGUGGUGGGUAGUAUAUGGGAUUUGUGACAAAAUGGAUGCCACUGUGAUAGACUGCAUCCAAUUUGUUGAGUAGAGUGUUGGAGGCUAUUUUGUAAAUGACAUCGCUGAAGUCUUUUACAAGAGUAUGUUUGGCAGCAUGAGUGAAGGAAGCUUUGUUGCGAAAUAGGAAGCCGAUUCUAGAUUUAAUUUUGGAUUGGAGAUACUUAAUGUGAGUCUGGAAGGAGAGUUUACAGUCUAACCAGACACCUAGGUAUUUGCAGUUGUCCACAUAUUCUAAGUCAGAACCGUCCAGAGUAGUGAUGCUGGACGGGCGGGAAGGUGCGCGCAGCGAUCGGUUGAAGAGCAUGCAUUUAGUUUUACUUGCCUUUAAGAGCAGUUGGAGGCCACAGAAGGAGAGUUAUGGCAUUGAAGCUCGUCUGGAGGUUAGUUAACAGUGUCCAAAGGGCCAGAGGUAUACAGAAUUCCUGUCCUACAAUCUAUAGGCCUGGUUUUUAUCACAGCAUGAUAGAGACCCACAAAAAUACGAUGAAUCUCAAUGGGUCCAAUUAUAUGAACCUUGUGUCGUAACAUUGUAUUCAUACAUUAUGCAUUUCUAUUUUAAUUGUAAAAUAAAGAAGUUAAGGGGGGAUCGCUAGGCCUAUGUGGUUCAACUUCUCUCAAUGUUCUCUACAGACUGGCAGAGGCCCACAGUGUGGGUAGGUGUGGUUAUAGUAACACCUUGAAUACACCGCCGACGUUACGUGUGAGAGCAUUGCAAAAUAAAUUUACACAGAUGUUAUUCAAUCAUUUCAACCAAACUAAUCACACGUCACAGUGUCUGUGUAGCGUAGCAAGGCGGUAAAUAUAACUUGGUUCUAUUUAAGAUGCUCGACGGGCUGCAAAUGCCCUCCUUAUUGGUUACCAGGAAGAUACAAACCUACGUGGAUGACAAAGACAAACGAGGAGUGAUUCAGAGAUAAAAAGGGAAACUUAGUUUGUUGUUAGUUAUCUAUUGAUUAAUCGUCUGAGUAGAGAAACACACUUUUGUAUGAAUCUGGGUCCUUUUUUUUAUAUAUUUUUUUUACAAAGAACCAGCUAUAAAGAGGACCAUAUGAAUGUCAGGUUAAACAACCCAAUGUUAAUCUCCCAAAACAAACAAGCUAGCAACAUGCAUGUUUCAACUUGCCUGGAAAUAAAUAUUGAUUUUGAUAUUUUAACCUACAUGUAAUGAUUGCGCCUGGUGGAGAUAGGCAAAAUGAUCACGCGAACAUUGGCGCAGGGCUGGUCUAGCCAUGGGGGAAGUGGAGAUGCAGUAUUUUGCUUCCACCCAUCUACUUAAAAACAGGUUAGUCAGGCAACAGAAACUCAUUGGUUUAGGUGUUAAAAGACUGUUGCGCACUCUUGAACCCAUAGGACAAGCCAGGUCAUGUUGAAGGCCAUGUUGACUAUCCAGGACACGUAGAAACCGUACGGCAGCACAAAGAGGGUCCAGCUCCUGAGGAAUUGAAAAUAAAGUUGGCAUCAGAACAAACAUUCUAUGCACACCCUUUGGAAGGAAAGAAGAUCAGCUGGGAGGUAAAAAGUCACCCAUUCAAUGGAGUUCCAUUUCAGGUUGUGGGCACAAGCACAUAUGAAUGCCAUCAGGGGAAAGACCGACAAGUAAAAGCUAAAGAGAAACAUGCUGCUAAAAUGAACAAGAAGGCGCUUGAAGACCAUGCCUUAAAGAGACGGAAACAAAAUACAAAGAAGGUGGACUGCAAGGCUUUAAUAAACAUCGCCCACAUUAUCCGCUUUCCUGGUUUUAAGAUUGAGGAGAGUACUGUGCGCUCUAAAAAGGAGGCCUCCAAAGAUCUGAAGGCAGCUCUAAGUGAAAAACCAAGCUCUGUGAAGGCAGAGGUUGUCUACUGUGUCAGGUUCCCCUCUCUCUCUGAGCAUAGCUCACACGCACUUGUUGGUGAGAGGUCCUCUAAGAAGAACUUGAAGAUGUUGCAGAAGCAAUGUGCAGGCUAUCUAAAAGAAAUCACAGACCUCACCUAUCAUCUUCAAGAUGAACAGUACAUGACUGGCCUGUCUUCACAUCUGCAAAGCCUAUUGCAGGAAAUGAAAGGACUUGUCCCACAGGAUAAAGAUCUCACACUGACCCUUUCCCCAAGGAAGAGAAAGGCUGAGGAGGACAUGGCCACCCUACCAACCCAGGGAGCAUCGCAACCUUUCACCGACAGUGUAGGACAGCAUGCAGAUUUACAGAACACAUGCGAAGAACCAUGUUUGCCAAAUUGAGUGUGGAGUGAGAUUGCUUAUAGGCAGGGAGCCUAGGGCGCCGGAGGAUGGCAG
ensembl:lncRNA